rfam:Schistosoma mansoni, Puerto Rico, WGS project CABG01000000 data, contig: 0080
AUCCAUCUGACGAGUCCCAAAUAGGACGAAACGCGCGUCCUGGAU